rnacentral:misc_RNA from 1 species
GAUGAAGAACGCAGCGAAAUGCGAUAAGUAAUGUGAAUUGCAGAAUUCAGUGAAUCAUCGAACCUUUGAACGCACAUUGCGCCCGCCAGCAUUCUGGCGGGCAUGCCUGUUCGAGCGUCAUUUCAACCCUCGAGCCCCCCCGGGGGCCUCGGUGUUGGGGGACGGCACACCAGCCGCCCCCGAAAUGCAGUGGCGACCCCGCCGCAGCCUCCCCUGCGUAGUAGCACACACCUCGCACCGGAGCGCGGAGGCGGUCACGCCGUAAAACGCCCAACUUUCUUAGAGUUGACCUCGGAUCAGGUAGGAAUACCCGCUGAACUUAAGCAUAUCAAUAAGCGGAGGA